GACGAACGCUGGCGGCGUGCUUAACACAUGCAAGUCGAACGGAAAGGCCCUGCUUGCAGGGUUCUCGAGUGGCGAACGGGUGAGUAACACGUGGGUGAUCUGCCCUGCACUUCGGGAUAAGCCUGGGAAACUGGGUCUAAUACCGGAUAGGAGCCAUUUUUAGUGUGAUGGUUGGAAAGUUUUUUCGGUGUAGGAUGAGCUCGCGGCCUAUCAGCUUGUUGGUGGGGUAAUGGCCUACCAAGGCGGCGACGGGUAGCCGGCCUGAGAGGGUGGACGGCCACAUUGGGACUGAGAUACGGCCCAGACUCCUACGGGAGGCAGCGGUGGGGAAUAUUGCACAAUGGGCGCAAGCCUGAUGCAGCGACGCCGCGUGGGGGAUGACGGCCUUCGGGUUGUAAACUCCUUUCGCUAGGGACGAAGCUUUUUGUGACGGUACCUAGAUAAGAAGCACCGGCUAACUACGUG
rnacentral:rRNA from 1 species